rnacentral:rRNA from 1 species
AUUGAACGCUGGCGGCAGGCCUAACACAUGCAAGUCGAGCGGAUGAAGGGAGCUUGCUCCUGGAUUCAGCGGCGGACGGGUGAGUAAUGCCUAGGAAUCUGCCUGGUAGUGGGGGAUAACGUCCGGAAACGGGCGCUAAUACCGCAUACGUCCUGAGGGAGAAAGUGGGGGAUCUUCGGACCUCACGCUCUCAGAUGAGCCUAGGUCGGAUUAGCUAGUUUGUGGGGUAAAGGCCUACCAAGGCGACGAUCCGUAACUGGUCUGAGAGGAUGAUCAGUCACACGGGAAGUUAGACACGGACCAUGCUCCUACGGGAGGCAGCAGUGGGGAAUAUUGGACAAUGGGCGAAAGCCUGGUCCAGUCAUGGCGCGUGUGUGAAGAAGGUCUUGGGAUUGUAAAGCACUUUAAGUUGGGAGGAAGGGCAGUAAGUUAAUACCUUGCUGUUUUGACGUUAACAACAGAAUAAGCACCGGCUAACUUCGUG